CGAUCAUCGUGAUCACAUCGCAUGCAUUUUCACAUAAUGAUAAACAGUCGGCUAGCAAAUACGUUAAUAAAUAAUAAAAUAUAUAUUCAUGUGAUGUCAAUGCAGAUCCAGCUCCAUUGUCUAAGUAUGUGGUAGCAUUUGCUAAGAAAGACAAAACCAGAGGAACACCUUAGAAAACUAUGCACUGAUCAACUGGAAGUGUUUUUACAAACAAGAAGAGGUCGACACGAUUACAGAAACAAAGACCAAUCGGCAAACAACCAGCACAUGGACCAUCUCAGUAACAUGGCAAAUGGCAUCAGCACAUGUCUGGGAAGCAAAUCCGGUAAUAACAGACCACAAAGUAGAGGAGGCUUUCGUGGAAGAGGACGCAACAGGGAGCACAACGAGGAAACAAUAGAAGCAAUUAUGAUCAUCCAGUGCCUCAAAAUCUAAAGCCACAGUGUCAGGACUAUGAGGAUUGAAGAACAGUUCAGAAAAAUUUUCAACGAAAUCAAAGGUACUCCAUAUGAAUGUCAUAUGUGAAGAGAACAGUUUACGCGAUCGACAACCAGUUUGCAUCACAAAGCUACUGUAGAUGGUGAAGGAACUUCAACGAGUUGUUUGUGGAUUCUUAAAACAAUGCAUGAUACGAUACCGCUCAAGUGGCUAAAAUUCAACUAAUACUGCAGGAGAUUGGUAGGGAAAUUGUGUGCAAGACUUACGAUGAAUGGCCUUCAGUGAUCAAGGUGUGGCAUAGGUUUGAUGAUGAAGGUACUGGAGGAAGAGUUAGCCAAAAUCUAUGGAGAGAUGAGAUUAGCAAAGAUGAAACUUGCUUUGAGAUCUUCUUGCAAUUGAUGAAGCAGUUUGGACUUCUGUAAGUUGACCUGGUCAUGAUUACCAAUUUACCGACCAUGUGACAAUAGCAUAGGCCGUUGCUUGUCUCACUCCCACUGUCGUACUGUCCCGUAUUCGCUGCAAGCAAUGUUCGGCC